GCGCCAUCGCCUCGUGCUGUUCGAGGCGCUCUCAAGGCCGCGGCCUCCCUCGUGGGGGGCAGUUCCUGCCUCUGGGGUGACCUGGACUGAAGCCCGUGAAGCCUGUGGCCGGCUUAGACCCCUCCAGGACAGAAGUCCAGCCCCCCAUGACAGCCUGCGCCACUCGCCCUCUGGAGAGCCGAACCCCCUGAUGAGGAGCUCCAAGUAAGGCCCACAGCAUGGGGACAAGGGAGCUGUCACUUAAGCUGUGCACCUACAAAGAACACCACCAACCCAGAAAAACGCUCAAUAGCAUAAGCCAGGAUGAUUGAAGACUAUGAACAUCUUUUGUUUUCCACAAAUGUAUAAGCCCAAGAGUUGUUGCAUAAGACAAGGGAGAAACAGAGGGCAUUCAGAAAAUUAAAUUACAUCCUGUCUCUCGGUAAACGUGGUAAUGGGGUGCUGGACUGCAGUCUGUGUGGUAUGGUAGUUUCCCUCCUGUGAGGUAGUGCAUAGGCAGUUGGGACUCGGGGAGAUGAUAGUCUAAUAUGGGGCUAGCAUUGCUUUCUUUGGUGAUAGGUUUUACACCACCAGUGAUUCUGGCAGGACACAAAUUCCAUUUGCACAAAUGAAGUGAAGUCCUAAGGAGUGGUGUGUCCCGUCCCACCUCUCUU